rnacentral:rRNA from 1 species
CGCCCUUUGAAAAGUGGUUUUAUCUAAGAAAUAAAGGGUACUGCCUGCCCAGUGACGUAUAAGUUAAACGGCCGCGGUAUUUUGACCGUGCAAAGGUAGCAUAAUCAUUUGCCUUUUAAAUGGAGGCUGGAAUGAAUGGCAAGACGGAAAUUUGACUGUCUCUUUCUUAAAUACCCUGAAAUUAAUAUUCUAGUGAAGAAGCUGGAAUGAAAUCGUGGGACGAGAAGACCCUGUUGAGCUUUAGCAGAUUGAGUAGUCAUAAGUUUUUUGUUUAGGGCUAAUAAUAGAGUGUUAAAAUUUUAAGUUUUAAAGUUUACCUUUAGUAGAGAAAAUGUAGUAUUCUGUUCUGUUUUGGUUGGGGCAACUGCGGAGAACAAUAAACCUCCGUUUCAAUAGUAUAAAAGUACAGUUUUAACUAGAAAUUGUUUUGUCUAAAUGACCCACUGUAUUAUAUAGUGAUCAAAGGAAUAAGUUACCACAGGGAUAACAGCGUAAUUUUUUUGGAGAGUUCAUAUUGAUAAAAAAGUUUGCGACCUCGAUGUUGGAUCGAGACUUCCUGGAGGUGCAGCAGCUUCCGAGGGUUGGUCUGUUCGACCAUUAAAGUCUU